UACGUAGGUGGCAAGCGUUGUCCGGAUUUACUGGGCGUAAAGAGCGCGCAGGCGGUCGAAUAAGUCGAAUGUGAAAGCCCCCGGCUCAACUGGGGAGGGUCAUUCGAUACUGUUCGACUUGAAGGCAGGAGAGGGAAGCAGAAUUCCCGGUGUAGUGGUGAAAUGCGUAGAUAUCGGAAGGAACAUCAGUGGCGAAAGCGGCUUCCUGGACAAGUACCGACGUUCAGGCACGAAAGCGUGGGGAGCAAACAGG
rnacentral:rRNA from 1 species